UAGCAAGCCUCCAGCAUGCCUGAGUUUAGUUGACUCAGUGCAUUCCUGCAGUGCUUGCAAGAGUGUUCUGAAAUGGUUUGAGGCCUUGCUGUCUGUCUUCUUCAGAGCAUGGUCGUAGACAUUUUACACAGUU
rnacentral:snoRNA from 1 species